rnacentral:tRNA from 1 species
GGAAGGGUGCCGGAGUGGUCUAACGGAGCGGUCUUGAAAACCGUCGCGGUGCAAGCCGCCGGGGGUUCAAAUCCCUCCCCUUCCGCCA